rnacentral:rRNA from 1 species
CGGAGCGCGGAAUACCGGCGAGAAAUCGCCGACAAGACCGCAUGAGCUACCUUUCGUCAAGGGAAGGCAGCAAAGGUUCUGGCUUCGACGAGAGCCGCUCGGGGAUGAGCCUGCGGCUGAUUAGCUAGCUGGUAAGGUAACGGCUUACCAGGGCGACGAUCAGUAGCUGGUCUGAGAGGACGAGCAGCCACACUGGGAUUGAGAACGGCCCAG